GGGCGGGAUGUAACCCGCUGCUGAGCUGGCAGCUCUGUGUCGCUAGGCUUCGGCCCGGCCGCCGCCGCACAUAAGCUGCGAGGAGGAGCUUUACGACUUCCCGGUCUUCGGGGCCGGGCGCAGCAAGGGCCAGACUCUGCGCUAGCAGGCGCUGCGCGCCAACCGGCCGGCACCUGUCGCAGAAGGUGCAACCGAUCGCACUGUCGCGCCGAAGCUCCUCAAUGGCCAGCGCCAGCUGCAGCCCCGGCCGCCCACUCGCCUCACCUGAGCCUGGGAGCUUGAAAAAUCACAUUUGAGAAGAGGAUUGGAUCCUAGCCAUAACAUAAAUAUAAGGGUGGAACCAAAGUUUUAAUCAAAGAAGGUGGUGUUCAGUUGCUGCUUACAAUAGUUGAUACCCCAGGAUUUGGAGAUGCAGUGGAUAACAGUAAUUGCUGGCAGCCUGUUAUCAAUUACAUUGAUAUUAAAUUUGAGGACUACCUAAAUGCAGAAUCGCGAGUGAACAGAUGUCAGAUGCCUGGUAACAGGGUGCAGUGUUGUUUAUACUUCAUUGCUCCUUCAGGACAUGGACCAUUACAUAACUGAAGACUCCCACCUUCAGGCAGGAUUGGGUAGUACGUGUUUGUAACUACCUGGCAUUGCCUUUUGUUGAGGAAGGGUAGAUGUCUACCCAAAUGGAAUAUUGAGUAUCAGAGACUUCAAAUGAUAACUUUUGUUUGUUUGGAGAAAAUCUUGAGGACGUGAUCACUGUACAAAAGCAUGGCAAAAUGAGGAAACCACUGACAGGUGAAGAAUUUGCACAAUGGAAAACCACCUUGACCAUCUCAUGACUUUAUACAGGAAUCGGAGACAUCCAAGGCCAUUCCAUUUCUAAAUCACACUUAUCCCUCAAUCAAGUCAGUGACUGGAUCAUCUCCUAAGGUUUCACCUGCUUUGCAUCAGUGAGUUGGACUAUGGAUCAGGUACUGUGCUCAGCAUCAGAAAAUGGGAUGACAAUGAACAGAGUAACAGGACUAUAUUUCUGAAAAAGGAUGAACUUACUGGAAACAGGAUUGCGUGCCUGAAAUAUAUCCAAAUGGAUAUAAAUGUCAACUCAGUUCUGGGCUGGAGAUAUAGAUUUGGAAUGCACCAACAAUGCAGAUGGUAAUCCUGGCAUGCGAGUAGGUGAGAUCAUCCAGGGAGAUGGCCUAUAAUGAGAGCCUACAACAUGUCAGGGCUCAAGCACCUCUUACUGCCUCCUCACUCUGGAACCAAAUGCCUUACUGUCUGCACUGCUCCCCAUUGCCUUCCCUCCCGCCUCACCAGUUGAUCCCUAUACCUCCUUCCCAAUGACCUCCAGGAGGCCUCUAACUUACAGGUUCCUAGGAGAAUGUUAACAGUCCAGACCUUUUUCACUACAUCAACCACGGAUGAUUGGCAUAUAAAAUCCUACUUAACCUUUACAUAACUGCAAUACCAGGAAACAAAUAUGUCAAUAAAAGGAAACAUCAUUCAA
rnacentral:lncRNA from 1 species